rnacentral:rRNA from 1 species
CAGCAGUCGCCGCGGGAACACGAAGGGUGCAAGCGUUAAUCGGAAUUACUGGGCGUAAAGCGUGCGUAGGCGGUUUGUUAAGUCUGUUGUGAAAUCCCCGGGCUCAACCUGGGAAUGGCAAUGGAUACUGGCAAGCUAGAGUGUGUCAGAGGAUGGUGGAAUUCCCGGUGUAGCGGUGAAAUGCGUGGAGAUCAAGAGGAACACUCGUGGCGAAAGCGAGCUACUGGACAAUAACUGACGCUGAGGCUCGAAGGCCAGGGUAGCGAAAGGGAUUAGAUACCCCCGUAGUCCCUGUCUCUUAUAC